UACAGAGGGUGCGAGCGUUAAUCGGAAUUACUGGGCGUAAAGCGCGCGUAGGCGGCUUUGCAAGUCGGGUGUGAAAUCCCCAGGCUUAACCUGGGAACUGCAUUCGAGACUGCAUUGCUAGAGUAUGGGAGAGGGAAGUGGAAUUUCCGGUGUAGCGGUGAAAUUCGUAGAUAUUCGGAGGAACACCAGUGGCGAAGGCGGCUCACUGGCUCGGUACUGACGCUGAGGUGCGAAAGCGUGGGGAGCAAACAGG
rnacentral:rRNA from 1 species